rnacentral:rRNA from 1 species
AGUGGCGGACGGGUGAGUAAUGCGUAGGAACCUACCCCUAAGCGGGGGACAACUUGGGGAAACUUGAGCUAAUACCGCAUAAUACCUAAGGGUCAAAGAGGGCUUCGGCUCUCACUUAGGGAGGGGCCUACGUUAGAUUAGCUAGAUGGUGAGGUAAAGGCUCACCAUGGCGACGAUCUAUAGCUGUUCUGAGAGGAAGAUCAGCCACACUGGGACUGAGAUACGGCCCAGACUCCUACGGGAGGCAGCAGUGGGGAAUAUUGGACAAUGGGGGCAACCCUGAUCCAGCGAUGCCACGUGUGUGAAGAAGGCCUUAGGGUUGUAAAGCACUUUUAUUAGUGAGGAAGGCUUUAAAGUUUAAUAAACUUUAGAGUUGACGUUAGCUAAAGAAAAAGCACCGGCUAACUCUGUGCCAGCAGCCGCGGUAAUACAGAGGGUGCAAGCGUUAAUCGGAAUUACUGGGCGUAAAGCGCUCGUAGGUGGAUAAUCAAGUCAGUCGUGAAAUACCUGGGCUCAACUUAGGUUUGUCGAUUGAAACUGGUUUUCUAGAGUACAGAAGAGGAUAGGGGAAUUUCCGGUGUAGCGGUGAAAUGCGUAGAUAUCGGAAAGAACACCAGUGGCGAAGGCGCCUGUCUGGUCUGAUACUGACACUGAGGAGCGAAAGCGUGGGUAGCAAACAGGAUUAGAUACCCUGGUAGUC